UUUCUGUAAAUUAGCAUCUGGUGAUUAUGGCUUGAAGGUAACACCCGUUCCCAUGCCGAACACGAAGGUUAAGCUUCAAAGCGCUGAUGGUACUGCAGGGGAGGCCCUGUGGAAGAGUAAGUCGUUGCCAGAUGAAAUAUGGCUCGAUAGCUCAGUCGGUAGAGCAGAGGACUGAAAAUCCUCGUGUCCCUGGU
rnacentral:rRNA from 1 species